ensembl:lncRNA
AAAAUACUGAAACAUUGAAAGUUUUUUUUUUAUUAAAAAAAGAUCUAAGCUAGCAGAUCUAUGACAAUCAAGAACAGAAAAACAGAACAGAUAAGAGAGCUGCUAGAAGGCAAUGAUCCUCUGGCCUAUUAGGACAUGAGGCAUAGACAAAUGUGCAAUUAGGAGGAAAAAACCCUGUGAGGAGGAAAUGCUAGAGAAUAAAAUCCCCCUAUAGUUCCUCUAAGACUCUUGCCAGGAAAGCCAUCUGUCAAGAGAUUAGUAAGAAGGUAAUUUCUGCAGGAAUUUUCCCUUAGGACCAUAUGGAGUGCCAAGAAAAGGUGUUGUGGCAUCAGGAGUGAAGACAAAAGCUCAGGGUCCUCAGCAGUGUUUAUCACAGACAGAAAGAAAGCUAUCAACCCAUUGAGUCUUAGGGAAGAAGAGAGAGAACUACAUUGCUUUUGACAGGAGACCUGAAGAAGUAUUGGGAGUAGUUGAUGAAGCCAAGUCUCCUGAAAGGUUUACACAGGCUGGUUACAAUAUUCUGCAGAUGCAAGGUGGAUCCUUUACCUCUGAAUGGAUAAUCUUUCCUCUGAGAGGUAAGAAGAUUGGGGCGUUCUGAUAAAAAAACCAAAUAGUUAUGUAUAGGAAUA